rnacentral:rRNA from 1 species
AGGAGCCCAGAGCCUGAAUCAGUGUGUGUGUUAGUGGAAGCGUCUGGAAAGGCGCGCGAUACAGGGUGACAGCCCCGUACACAAAAAUGCACAUGCUGUGAGCUCGAUGAGUAGGGCGGGACACGUGGUAUCCUGUCUGAAUAUGGGGGGACCAUCCUCCAAGGCUAAAUACUCCUGACUGACCGAUAGUGAACCAGUACCGUGAGGGAAAGGCGAAAAGAACCCCGGCGAGGGGAGUGAAAAAGAACCUGAAACCGUGUACGUACAAGCAGUGGGAGCCCUGAUUUAUCAGGGUGACUGCGUACCUUUUGUAUAAUGGGUCAGCGACUUAUAUUCUGUAGCAAGGUUAACCGAAUAGGGGAGCCGGAGGGAAACCGAGUCUUAACUGGGCGUUAAGUUGCAGGGUAUAGACCCGAAACCCGGUGAUCUAGCCAUGGGCAGGUUGAAGGUUGGGUAACACUAACUGGAGGACCGAACCGACUAAUGUUGAAAAAUUAGCGGAUGACUUGUGGCUGGGGGUGAAAGGCCAAUCAAACCGGGAGAUAGCUGGUUCUCCCCGAAAGCUAUUUAGGUAGCGCCUCGUGAAUUCAUCUCCGGGGGUAGAGCACUGUUUCGGCAAGGGGGUCAUCCCGACUUACCAACCCGAUGCAAACUGCGAAUACCGGAGAAUGUUAUCACGGGAGACACACGGCGGGUGCUAACGUCCGUCGUGAAGAGGGAAACAACCCAGACCGCCAGCUAAGGUCCCAAAGUCAUGGUUAAGUGGGAAACGAUGUGGGAAGGCCCAGACAGCCAGGAUGUUGGCUUAGAAGCAGCCAUCAUUUAAAGAAAGCGUAAUAGCUCACUGGUCGAGUCGGCCUGCGCGGAAGAUGUAACGGGGCUAAACCAUGCACCGAAGCUGCGGCAGCGACGCUGAUGCGUUGUUGGGUAGGGGAGCGUUCUGUAAGCCUGUGAAGGUGUGCUGUGAGGCAUGCUGGAGGUAUCAGAAGUGCGAAUGCUGACAUAAGUAACGAUAAAGCGGGUGAAAAGCCCGCUCGCCGGAAGACCAAGGGUUCCUGUCCAACGUUAAUCGGGGCAGGGUGAGUCGACCCCUAAGGCGAGGCCGAAAGGCGUAGUCGAUGGGAAACAGGUUAAUAUUCCUGUACUUGGUGUUACUGCGAAGGGGGGACGGAGAAGGCUAUGUUGGCCGGGCGACGGUUGUCCCGGUUUAAGCGUGUAGGCUGGUUUUCCAGGCAAAUCCGGAGAAUCAAGGCUGAGGCGUGAUGACGAGGCACUACGGUGCUGAAGCAACAAAUGCCCUGCUUCCAGGAAAAGCCUCUAAGCAUCAGGUAACAUCAAAUCGUACCCCAAACCGACACAGGUGGUCAGGUAGAGAAUACCAAGGCGCUUGAGAGAACUCGGGUGAAGGAACUAGGCAAAAUGGUGCCGUAACUUCGGGAGAAGGCACGCUGAUGGUA